GACGAACGCUGGCGGCGUGCUUAACACAUGCAAGUCGAACGGAAAGGCCCUGCUUUUGUGGGGUGCUCGAGUGGCGAACGGGUGAGUAACACGUGAGUAACCUGCCCUUGACUUUGGGAUAACUUCAGGAAACUGGGGCUAAUACCGGAUAGGAGCUCCUGCUGCAUGGUGGUGGUUGGAAAGUUUCGGCGGUUGGGGAUGGACUCGCGGCUUAUCAGCUUGUUGGUGGGGUAGUGGCUUACCAAGGCUUGGACGGGUAGCCGGCCUGAGAGGGUGACCGGCCACAUUGGGACUGAGAUACGGCCCAGACUCCUACGGGAGGCAGCAGUGGGGAAUAUUGCACAAUGGGCGGAAGCCUGAUGCAGCAACGCCGCGUGCGGGAUGACGGCCUUCGGGUUGUAAACCGCUUUCGCCUGUGACGAAGCGUGAGUGACGGUAAUGGGUAAAGAAGCACCGGCUAACUACGUG
rnacentral:rRNA from 1 species